rnacentral:rRNA from 1 species
CCMCUUCGACGAGUCNAGUUGUUUGGGAAUGCAGCUCUAAAUGGGUGGUAAAUUUCAUCUMAAGCUAAAUACUGGCCGGAGACCGAUAGCGYACAAGUAGAGUGAUCGAAAGAUGAAWAGCACUUUGGAAAGAGAGUUAAAAAGUACGUGAWAUUGUUGAAAGGGAAGCGCUUGCGACCAGACUUGCACGCGGGUGAUCAGCCGUCCUUCUGGGCGGUGUACUCGCUCGCGUUCAGGCCAGCAUCGGUUCUGGCGGCUGGAUAAAGCCCCCGGGAAUGUAGCUCUCUUCGGGGAGUGUUAUAGCCUGGGGCGACAUGCGGCCAGCUGGGACCGAGGACCGCGCUUCGGCUAGGAUGCUGGCGUAAUGGUCGUCAGCGACCCGUCUUGAAACACGGACCANGGAGUCUAACAUCUAUGCGAGUGUUUGGGCGUUAAACCCACACGCGGAAUGAAAGUGAACGGAGGUGGGAACCCUUCAGGGCGCACCAUCGACCGAUCCUGAUGUCUUCGGAUGGAUUUGAGUAAGAGCAUAGCUGUUGGGACCCGAAAGGUAUGUUGAUUCCUUCUCUCUUUUCUCAUUUCGUUGUAGCUAACUUCUCGAAAGAUGGUGAACUAUGCCUGAAUAGGGUGAAGCCAGAGGAAACUCUGGUGGAGGCUCGCAGCGGUUCUGACGUGCAAAUCGAUCGUCAAAUUUGGGUAUAGGGGCKAAAGACUAAUCGAACCAUCUAGUAGNUGGUUCCUGCCGAARUUUCCCUCAGGAUAGCAGUA